rnacentral:ncRNA from 1 species
GAAGCUGAGGCGAAGGCGUCUACCUAGAGGGUUUCUGUCGAUCAAGGGCGAGAGUAGGAGUAUCCAACAGGAUUAGAGACCCUGGUAGUUCCUACCUUAAACGAUGCCGACAGGAGUUUGUCAUUUGUUAAUGGCAGAAUCUUUGGAGAAAUCAUAGUUCUUGGGCUCUGGGGGAACUACGACCGCAAGGCUGAAACUUGAAGGAAUUGACGGAAGGGCACACCAGGGGUGGAGCCUGUGGCUUAAUUUGAAUCAACACGGGGAAACUUACCAGGACCAGAUGUUUUUUAUGACUGACAGGCUUCGGGUCUUUCAGGAUAUUGUUUUUGGUGGUGCAUGGCCGUUGGUGGUGCGUGGGUUGACCUGUCUAGCGUUGAUUCAGCUAACGAGCGAGAUUAUCGCCAAUUAUUUACUUUGCCGAAGUCCUUCGGUUAAAGUUCUAAUUGGGACUCCCUGCGAUUUUAGCAGGUGGAAGAGGGUAGCAAUAACAGGUCCGUGAUGCCCUUUAGAUGCUCUGGGCUGCACGCGUGCUACAAUGUUAGGAUCAAUAGGACUGCGAGCCUGAGAGGGUGCGCUACUCUUAUAAUCCCUAACGUAGUUGGGAUUGACGUUUGUAAUCAGCGUCAUGAACCAGGAAUCCCUUGUAAAUGUGUGUCAACAACGCACGUUGAAUACGUCCCUGCCCUUUGUACACACCGCCCGUCGCUCCUACCGAUUGGAUGACUCGGUGAAAUCACCGGAUGCUUACGAGCAGAAAGUGAUUAAAUCACGUUAUCUAGAGGAAGGAGAAGUCGUAACAAGGUAACGGUAGGUGAACCUGCCGUUGGAUCAGUU